rnacentral:lncRNA from 10 species
CCCGGAAACUAGUCAGUCAUCCCUGUUGGCAGUAAGUGUUCCCAUAGCCGUUCCAUUAGAGGUUUAACUAGAUAUCUUCAAUAGAAGUCUGAGACAAGUGGGAGUGAGAAAUGGAGGACUAGAUUGGGAGAAUUUUUUUUUUCAUUCUGUUUGCUUAAUUCAUGGUACAGUUUGUGCUAUUUCAUAUUUGUACUCCAGGAAAAAAUAUAACUUAAAAAUACCGUGUCUAAAGAAAUUUCAGUGCUCUAUCAUCAUUAAAUUAUUUACUUACAUGCUUAUAUGACAGUCAUGCUCAGAUGUCACUGUCGUUGGUUUCUUGGGUGUAUUUUCAAUGUGUCUGCUGCUGACUCUCACAUCACUGGGUUUCCUUGCAGGUUUUGUAUUUCAGCUCUGAGCUUGGCUUCAGUGGGAUUGUUCUCUGUGCAGACCUCCCUGUCUUGCCACGGUGUUUGUCUCUACUCACACUCCGUGGGGUUGGCUGUCCCCAUAGCACAGUCCUGUUUGUAGGUCCUGGCCUCCCGUGAUGUACUGCCAAGUGCUACCAGUUCCUCACACUGAUACUGUUCCAACCACAGCCUUGAGAAAGAAGCCUACUCAGCUACAGAGCCAUGUCCACAGGCUGGAUGGAGGCUUUUCAUCCGAGUUCAGAGAGGCAGCCACUUCCUGGGUCUGGGUUUUUCUCAGGCAGCCUGAGUUCAGUUCCCCCAUAUAAAGGUUGCUCAUGGCCUCAACACCUGUCCAGGGUGGGAAUUCACAACUCAGCCUCUGAGGGAGGAAGACCGACAUGCCUUCACCUCCUCCUCCACCCGGCUCAUCUCUUCAGCUGUGGCAUCAGGAUGUUCCCUUUGCCUGGAACAUGCUUCUUCCAUUCACCACUCAGCUGACUCCUGGGCAUCCUUCAAGAUUCAGCUGAGAUGUGCCCUCUUCCAGAAAGCUCUCCCUGAUGACUGUAUGUGGGCAAGGUGUCCUAGGUGUCCUGCUGUUUGCUGAUGUUGCGCCACGUGUCUCUCUCCACAAUAAGUUUUCCUGUUUUCCUGUGCGGGACUGUCUGGCUCAAUUUGCCUGCAGGCUCUGAGGCCCCUGAGAGCAGCCCCCAGCUUUGACUCUGUGUAUCUAGCACUGGCCCCACUGCCUGUCAUGGAGUGGGAGCACAAGAAAUGUUUCAUGAAAUUUGAAUAAAAG